rnacentral:SRP_RNA from 2 species
GCUGGGUGUGGUGGCGGGUGCCUGUAGUCCCAGCUACUUGGGAGGCUGAGGCAGGAGAAUUGCUUGAACCCGGGAGGCAGAGGUUGCAGUGAGCCGAAAUCACACCACUGCAUUCCAGCCUGGGUGACAGAGCAAGACUCUGUCUCAA